GACGAACGCUGGCGGCGUGCUUAACACAUGCAAGUCGAGCGGGGUCCAUCCAGUGGCAACACUGGUGAAGACCUAGCGGCGAACGGGUGAGUAACACGUGAGAAACCUGCCCUGAACUCUGGGAUAACCCGAGGAAACUCGAGCUAAUACCGGAUGCCCCCACCGAGUCGCAUGGCUUGGUGAGGAAAGAUUUAUCGGUU
rnacentral:rRNA from 1 species